rnacentral:rRNA from 1 species
AUGUUGCAGACCAAGCUCAUCGUCGCCCUCCAUCACAGUGCCGUGGGUGGUCACUCCGGUGCCACGGCCACCUACCACCGCGUCCGCAAGCUGUUCGCCUGGCCCGGGCUGAAGCGUGUCGUGGAAGAUUUUGUCCGGCAGUGCGCCGUGUGCCAACACGCCAAGCACGAGCACACGCACCCUGCCGGCAAGCUCCAACCCCUUCCAAUCCCCACGGAACCAUGGCAGGAGCUGACCAUGGAUUUCGUGGAGGGGCUGCCGAAAUCUGAGGCCUCCGAUGCAAUCAUGGUUGUCGUCGACCGGCUUACCAAGUACGCCCACUUCAUGCCGCUUCGUCAUCCCUUCACUGCCGUCCAAGUUGCUCGCGCCUUCUGGGAGAACAUCAUCAAGCUUCACGAUGUUCCUCAUUCGAUCGUCUCCGACCGCGACAAGAUCUUCACGGGUGCCAUGUGGCGCGAAUUGCUCGCCGCCGCAGGAACCAAACUACUCUACUCCACCGCGUACCACCCACAGACGGACGGCCAAACCGAGCGCGUCAAUCAGUGCUUGGAGAUGUACCUGCGAUGUGCGGUCCACGACACACUGCGGCAAUGGCGCAAGUGGCUACCGGCGGCGGAGUUCUGGUACAAUUCUGCACAUCACACCUCCCUGAAUUGCUCUCCCUUCAAGGCAUUGUACGACAGAGAGCCCAACCUGGGGGGUUUACCACACCUGAGCGCCGCGCUACCCAGUGACGCGGCGUCAGGCGAUCUGGACUAG